rnacentral:rRNA from 1 species
GACGAACGCUGGCGGCGUGCUUAACACAUGCAAGUCGAACGGCAAGGCCCUGCUUUUUUGGUGUGCUCGAGUGCCGAACGGGUGAGUAACACGUGUGUAACCUGCCCUUGACUUUCGUAUAACUUCAGGAAACUGGGGCUAAUACCGUAUAGCGUCUCCUGCUGCAUGGUGGGGGUUGGAUAUUUUCGGCGGUUGGGGAUGGACUGGCGGCUUAUCAGCUAGUUGGUGGGGUAGUGGCUUACCAAGGCUUUGACGGGUAGCCGGCCUGAGAGGGGGACCGGCCACAUGGGGACUGAGAGACGGACCAGACUCCUACGGGAGGCAGCAGUGGGGAAUAUUGCACAAUGGGCGGAAGCCUGAGGCAGCAACGCCGCGUGCGGGAUGACGGCCUUCGGGUUGUAAACCGCUUUAGCCUGUGACGAAGCGUGAGUGACGGUAAUGGGUAAAGAAGCACCGGCUAACUACGUG